AUGGCUGUCGUCAGCUCGUGUCGUGAGAUGUUGGGUUAAGUCCCGCAACGAGCGCAACCCUCGUCGUUAGUUGCCAGCAUUAAGUUGGGCACUCUAGCGAGACUGCCGGUGACAAACCGGAGGAAGGUGGGGAUGACGUCAAGUCAGCAUGCCCCUUACGUCCUGGGCUACACACGUACUACAAUGCUGUGGACAAAGAGUUGCCAACCCGCGAGGGC
rnacentral:rRNA from 1 species